rnacentral:rRNA from 1 species
CAGCCGCCGCGGGAAUACGGAGGGUGCAAGCGUUAAUCGGAAUUACUGGGCGUAAAGCGCACGCAGGCGGUUUGUUAAGUCAGAUGUGAAAUCCGAGCUUAACUUGGGAACUGCAUUUGAAACUGGCAAGCUAGAGUCUUGUAGAGGGGGGUAGAAUUCCAGGUGUAGCGGUGAAAUGCGUAGAGAUCUGGAGGAAUACCGGUGGCGAAGGCGGCCCCCUGGACAAAGACUGACGCUCAGGUGCGAAAGCGUGGGGAGCAAACAGGAUUAGAUACCCCUGUAGUCCCUGUCUCUUAUACAC